AGAGUUUGAUCAUGGCUCAGGAUGAACGCUGGCGGCGUGCCUAACACAUGCAAGUCGAGCGAGACUCCGGCAGAAGAGACUUCGGUUAAAUCAGUCGGACGGUAGCGGCGGACGGGUGAGUAACGCGUAGGCAAUCUGCCCCGUACAGAGGGAUAGCCGUUGGAAACGACGAGUAAGACCUCAUGAUGCAGCACUUUCACAUGGGAGAGCUGCCAAAGAUUUAUCGGUAUGGGAUGAGCCUGCGUCUGAUUAGCUGGUUGGUGAGGUAACGGCCCACCAAGGCGACGAUCAGUAGCCGACCUGAGAGGGUGAUCGGCCACAUUGGAACUGAGACACGGUCCAAACUCCUACGGGAGGCAGCAGUGGGGAAUAUUGCACAAUGGAGGGAACUCUGAUGCAGCAACGCCGCGUGAAGGAUGAAGGUUUUCGGAUCGUAAACUUCUGUCCAUGGGGACGAAGAAAGUGACGGUACCCGUGGAGGAAGCCCCGGCUAACUACGUGCCAGCAGCCGCGGUAAUACGUAGGGGGGCGAGCGUUAUCCGGAAUUAUUGGGCGUAAAGAGUGCGUAGGGUGGCCCACUAAGCGCAGGGUUUAAGGCAAUGGCUUAACUGUUGUUCGCCUUGCGAACUGGAGGGCUUGAGUUCAGGAGAGGAAAGUGGAAUUCCUAGUGUAGCGNUGGAAUGCGUAGAUAUUAGGAGGANNNCNNNNGGCGAAGGCGACUUUUCUGGACUGAUACUGACACUGAGGCACGAAAGCGUGGGGGAGCAAACAGGAUUAGAUACCCUGGUAGUCCACGCCGUUAAACGAUGAGCACUAGGUGUNNGGGNNNNNAAGGCUUNGGUGCCGCAGUUAACGCAAUAAGUGCUCCGCCUGGGGAGUAUGCACGCAAGUGUUAAACUCAAAGGAAUUGACGGGGACCCGCACAAGCAGCGGAGCAUGUGGUUUAAUUCGAAGCAACGCGAAGAACCUUACCAGGACUUGACAUCCCCCUGACAGGGCUUUAAAAGGCCCCUUCUUCGGACAGGGGAGACAGGUGGUGCAUGGUUGUCGUCAGCUCGUGUCGUGAGAUGUUGGGUUAAGUCCCGCAACGAGCGCAACCCUUGCCUUUAGUUGCCAUCAUCAAGUUGGGCACUCUAGAGGGACUGCCGGGGACAACUCGGAGGAAGGUGGGGAUGACGUCAAAUCAUCAUGCCCCUUAUGUUCUGGGCUACACACGUGCUACAAUGGCCGGUACAGCAGGAAGCGAAGCCGUGAGGCGGAGCGAACCCCAAAAGCCGGUCCCAGUUCGGACUGCAGGCUGCAACCCGCCUGCACGAAGUCGGAGUUGCUAGUAAUCGCGGAUCAGCACGCCGCGGUGAAUGCGUUCCCGGGUCUUGUACACACCGCCCGUCACACCAUGGAAGUUGGUGGUGCCCGAAGUCGGUCAACAAAUCUACUGCCUAAGGCAAAACCAAUGACUGGGGUGAAGUCGUAACAAGGUAACCGUA
rnacentral:rRNA from 1 species